rnacentral:lncRNA from 1 species
CUAAAUAAAAAGUUGGACACAAAAAAAAAAAGAGAAGGACUAAAAUGCUAUUAGACCUUCAUGGGUAAUCAUUGUAGCAGCACGGUGUAGAAUAUUACAUAUCACAGAGACACGUUAGCUAGCUAGCUACAACACACAGGUAUUGUUACUCCAAGACCAGUCAUGAGGCUACAGUACAUUUUGGAUAUAGCAAACAAAGCUAGCUCAACUUGUAGUGGUAUUCGCAAGCCCCGACAUGGCCGAAUCGAUCACAAAAAAAGUAUAUAAUGUAUUGAACAACACUGCCUUGUGUAAAAAGAGAGCUUUUAUGUUGCUAGACAGCUAUAGACAGAACGCUCAGGAUGUCAGACUGGACCUUAGACUGACUUCUUUGUGAUUUGCCCGCGGAUCUUGAAGGUUCUGAACAACAUCUCUUGACUUCUCAACCGCCUGGUAGAGCUCCGUUACUCCCCCCAAAAAACAUAAAGUUGAAAAAAAACUAUUGGAAGAUCUUAUUUGAGUAGUUAGUAGUAGGAAUUUAGGCUGAAAUAAUGUUUGAACAUGUUUUUUUAAGAAGAGACAGUUAAAGGGUAAAGAUAACUCAAACACAGUAAUGGGGUGUAACGGCUGUCUUCGGGUAGAGAGGACCAAAACGCAGCAGGAAUGUGGAUGCUCAUCUUGAAUAUUUAUUUUAAAUAAAGUGAACACCAAAACGAAGAACGACAGACCGACAGUUUAACAGGCUAUACUUACUACAGCAGUGCUAAAGACAACUACCCACAAAAUACCAAACCAAACACACACCUAUAUAUAGGACUCUCAUUCAGAGGCAACUAGAAACACCUGCCUCCAAUUGAGUCCAACACCCAAUCCUAAACAUAGAAAAACUAAACUAGACAGAACAUAGAAAUACAUAGAAAACACAAACCCUCUGCCACGUCCUGACUAAAACUAAUACAAUUACUCCCUCUGCUGGUCAGGACGUGACAUGGGGACAAAGUGGAGAGGUCUGGGGUGGCUUCCCCUUAGUAGAAUAAUGACAAAUUUUUCCCUUGAUCCUGGCUAGUCUCCCAGUCCCUGCCGCUGAAAAACAUCCCCACGGCAUGAUGUUGCCACCACCAUGCUUCACCGUAGGGAUGGUGCCAGGUUUCUUACAGAUGUGAAGCUUGGCAUUCAGGGCAAAGAGUUUAAUCUUUGUUUCAUCAGACCAGAGAAUCUUGUUUCUUGGCCACUCCACCAUAAAGGCCUGAUUGGUGGAGUGCUGCAGAGAUGGUUGUCCUUCUGGAAGAUUCUCCCAUCUCCACAGAGGAACUCUGGAGCUCUGUCAGAGUGACCAUCAGGUUCUUGGUCACCUCCUUGACCAAGACCCAUCUCCCCUGAUUGCUCAGUUUGGCCGGGCGGCCAGCUCUAGGAAGAGUCUUGGUGGUUCCAAACUUCUUCCGUUUAAGAAUGAUGGAGGCCACUGUGUUCUUGGAGACCUUCAAUGCUGCAGACAUUUUUUGGUACCCUUCCUCAAAUCUGUGUCACGACAUAAUCCUGUCUCUGAGCUUUACGGACAAUUCCUUCGACCUCAUGGCUUGGUUUUUGCUCUGACAUGCACUGUCAACUGUGUGACCAUAUAUAGACAGGUGUGUGUGCCUUUCCAAAUCAUGUCCAAUCAAUAGAAUUUACCACAGGUGGACUCCAAUGAAGUUGUAGAAACAUCUCAAGGAUGAUCAAUGGAAACAGGAUGCACCUGAGCUCAAUUUCGAGUCUCAUGGCAAAGGGUCUGAAUAUUUCUGUAAAUUAGGUAUUUCUGUUAUUUAUUUUUAAUAAAUGUGCAAAAAUGUUUAAAAAAAAUGUUUUUGCUUUGUCAUUAUGGGGUUUUGUGUGUAGAUUGAUGAGGGAAAUGUUUUAUUUAAUCCAUUUUAGAAUAAGUCUGUAACGUAACAAAACGUGGAAAAAGUCAAGGACUUUGAAUACUUUCUGAAUGCACUGUAUAAAUCAAAUAGAAUGCCAUUUAUUUGGGGGUCUUGGGACACCAACACUGUAAUUGAAAGUGUCAGCCAGGGAUAUUUUAGUGAUUUUACAGCAUGAAUGUUGAUUCUGCUCUGCUCUCCUCGCCACAAUGGAACAGAAUACAUGAAUAGACACAGAAUAGAAAAGAGGAAAGCAACUAGAACUAAAGUGUGGAAUUGAAUACCAAUGAACUUUUUAAUUGCCUGUGCUAGUUGGAAUAUUCAGAAAUUUGGGAAGAAAAUAGAAAGGGGGCGAUUGUGUGUGGAGAGAGAGAGACACAGAGAGAGAGAGACAGAGAGAGAGAGACACAGAGAGAGAGAGACACAGAGAGAGAGAGAGUGAGAGACAGAGAUAGAGAGACACAGAGAGAGAGAGAGAGAGAGAGAGAGAGAGAGAGAGAGAGAGAGAGAGAGAGAGAGACAGAGAGAGACAGAGAGACACACAGAGAGAGAGACACAGAGAGAGACACAGAGAGAGAGAGAGAGAGAGAGAGAGAGAGAGAAAGACAGAGAGAGACAGAGAAAGACAGAGAGAGACAGAGAAAGACAGAGAGAGACAGAGAGAGAGACAGAGAGAGAGAGAAGAGAGAGAGAGAGACACAGAGACAGAGAGAGUUAAAGACAGAGAGACAGAGAGAGCGAGACAGAGAGAGAGAGAGAGAGAGAGAGAGAGACACAGAGACAGAGAGAGUUAGAGACAGAGAGACAAAGACAGAGAGAGAGAGAGAGAGAGAGAGAAGUGGAGACAGAGAGACAGAGAGAGAUACAGAGAGAGAGAGAGAGAAAAGAUGUCCACAUAGUUUUGGCCAUGUAGUGUAGCUACACACCGGUCACUGGACAGACCUGAAAUCAAACCACACAUCCCCAGAGUAAAAUCACAAUGUGAUUGUUAUAUUGAUGGACCAACAUUUCCUGAGGUAACACUGGGUUAGCUUCAAUCCCAGCUCUCUGAAGAGACAACACCCGUGUUGCAGUGCCACCAUGCCAGCUGUCCCUGGAUCUAGAGAGAAAGGAGAGAGAGAGAAAGAGAGAGAGAGAAAGAGAAAGGAGAGCGAAAGGAGAGAGAAAGAGAACAAAAGGGACACACUGGGCUCUGACUCAUCCAGGUUGGGCUGAGUCCCUUACAGUAUGUGUCACAGCUGGUCUCCCAGAGGAAUGAGGGAUUAUAUGAUUCAAAUCACAUGUUAUUGGUCACAGACAGGUGAUUAGCAGAUGUUAUUGGUCACAGACAGGUGAUUAGCAGAUGUUAUUGGUCACAGACAGGUGAUUAGCAGAUGUUAUUGGUCACAGACAGGUGAUUAACAGAUGUUAUUGGUCACAGACAGGUGAUUAGCAGAUGUUAUUGGUCACAGACGCGUGAUUAGCAGAUGUUAUUGGUCACAGACAGGUGAUUAACAGAUGUUAUUGGUCACAGACACGUGAUUAGCAGAUGUUAUUGCGGGUGUAGUGAAAUGCUUGUGCUUCUAGCUUCCGACGGUGCAGUAAUAUCUAACAAAUUACACAACAUAUACCCACACAUCUAAGUAGGAAUGAAUUAAGACUAUAU